rnacentral:misc_RNA from 1 species
GUUAUUUCAUUGCGUUAAACGCGACAUACAUUCCAUGAGACUUUGUUGUAGUGUGUGUGUAAAGACGUAGAACCACAGCGGGAGGGCAGAGCCCACCCAGGCCAUAGAACUACAGAGGGUGCACAGGUGUGAGUGGAUGUGUAAACAGAGCGUGCACAUGCCCCUGUACAGGGACCAGCAACAACUCUUGUUGACAAUUCGGUAAUGAUCCUUCCGCAGGUUCACCUACGGAAA